UCCUUCCCUUACAACAUUGGUAAAAUUUAAAAUAGUUAGCCCGUGACAUGAGAUGUUAACACUUUCAAAAAGGUAGAUAAUGGUUUAGAGUUUGAAAAAUUAAGUUGACACUAACUUACGUUAACAUAUAUCCUCCACACCCUAUUGAUCUCAUUAUUCUAGCUAAUCUUAAGUUUUUUGCUUGGUUUUCGUGCUCUAAAAAAUGGGAAUAAAUGAACUACACAUGC
rnacentral:lncRNA from 1 species